UCACUUCCAAACGCCGCAAGCUCGCCUUGUCCGCCACGUCUAGUACCUGAAAAUCACACAAAGAACAACCUCCCACAAAAACGAUGGGGGUUGCCUAACUCGGGAGAGGGGGGCUGCCUGGGAAUCACUGAGAAGGGGAUGAGGUAGGGGGUAGGGCAGGGGACUGAGGUGAGGGAAUGGGAGUGGGGUUGGAAGAUAGAGAGAAAGAACAGAAGGGGUCGCCGGAGUUAGGGAUGGGGGUCGCUGGAGUUAG
rnacentral:lncRNA from 1 species